UACGGAGGGGGCAAGCGUUGUUCGGAAUUACUGGGCGUAAAGGGCGCGCAGGCGGCUGCUCAAGUCAGGCGUGAAAGGCCUGGGCUCAACCCGGGAAUUGCGCUUGAGACUGGGCUGGCUUGAGUGCGGGAGAGGAUGGUGGAAUUCCCAGUGUAGAGGUGAAAUUCGUAGAUAUCGGGAGGAACACCUGUGGCGAAAGCGGCGCACUGGACCACAACUGACGCUGAGGCGCGAAAGCUAGGGGAGCAAACAGG
rnacentral:rRNA from 1 species